AUCCAUCCAAUUGUAUAUAUCUAUUUUCAGGAAGCCCUGGCACAGGUAUGCAAAGACUUGCCCCAAGGACGGCCACCACUGCGUCACAAGAGCAAGAAAUGGAACGUGACCCACACCCCCAUCUGUCCCCACCAUGGGAGAUUUUGCAGGCAGCUUCCCGUGUGCUCCUGUCCCCCACCUUUGGGGCACCAUCUCCCAGCAUCCUCUGCUCUCGUCCCUCAGAACCCAAGCCAUUAUGUGCUGGCCCGGGAUGACCCUCUUCUGGAUCCUUCUCACCCGUCAGACUUGAAACCCCUCCACCAUCUGCAAAUCCCUCUCCCGAAAACUAGAACCGUGCCUCUUCCUCUCCUCCAGAACACGCCAGGCUCCAGGAGUGACCAUCAUCACCCGGCGGCCACCCCCACCACCCUGAACGUCCAUUUCCACCCCACACCUGGCUCAGGGCUCAGCGGGAAUCUCUCCCGCUUAUCUUCCCGAACAGGUUGUUUUCUUUUCAGAAUGAAGCUCACCACCGUGUCCCCACCACUGGAGCUGCCCAGGAGGCCAGCGGCAGGUCAGGCCACUACGCUGCGUCCCUCAGGCCCAGAACAUCCCCCAUCUGCGGGCAGAGCUGUCCUUGUGAGAAGGCAUGGUCGACGGGACCUGAAAAUCUGUCCAUUUACACACAAGUGCUGAGAAUCCUGUUUCUAACACCCCUCCGAAGAUCCAAAGAUCUGAAAUAAGAUGUUUCCACUAAGAAAAGUUUAUUUAUUUUUUUUUUUUUUUAAAUUUUUUAUUUUUUUUAUUUUAUUUUGAGACGGACUCUUGCUCUGUCACCCAGGUUAGAGUGCAUUGGCACGAUCUCAGCUCACUGCAACCUCCGCCUCCCAGGUCCAAGCAAUUCUCCUGCCUUGGCCUCCGAAGUAGCUGGGAUUACAGGCACUGCCACCACGCCCAGUUAAUUUUUUUUUCUUUUGAGACAGAGUCUUGCUCUGUUGCCCGGGCUGGAGUGCAGUGGUGUGAUCUCAGGUCACUGUAACUUCCACCUCCCGGUUCAAGCCAUUCUCCUGCCUCAGCCUCCCAAGUUGCUGGGAUUACAGGCACACACCACCACACUGGGCUAAUUUUUGUAUUUUUAGUAGAGACGGGGUUUCACCAUGUUGGCCAGGCUGGUCUCAAACUCCUGACCUCAGGUGAUCCGCCCGCCUCAGCCUCCCAGAGUGCUGGGAUGACAGGCGUGAGCCACCGCACCCGUCCCCACUAAGAAAAAUUUUAAACGGACAUUUAAAGAAGCUAAUAGGAGACCUUUUCAUGAAGUAGCAUCUCAUAGGAACCUACGGAAACAGCAAAUAUCCAGCCCUGAAAGCUGAAAACAAGCUGUGAGCCAAAACACUGAAUGAUGUGCCCUUUUUCCUUCAGUCAAUGCAACAAAGACCUGAAAUGUUAUGUUUUUUUCUAAAUUUCAAACAUCACUCCCUUCAACACUGACAUCUCAGAUAAGAAUUAACAGAAUAGAUCUUUCCAUGAACUCCAAGAGUAAUUCCCCAAAAAGAAUUCCCAAAGAUUUCCCCCUCCAGCACAGUCAUAAGCUUCCUUGUCUUGAAGAGAAAACAAAGAAAAAUCAUCUGAUCUGUGCCCUCCAGGGAGUGAUAUGUGACUCACUUCAUUCUGAAGGAGCAGAGGAAGUUCAUGACAUUUUUAUAAACUACUCAGAAAACUGCCGUUUGGAAAACAGGGCUGGGCGUGGUGGUUCAGGCCUGUAACCCCAGCACUUUGGGAGGCCAAAGUAGGAGAAUCCCUUGAGCCCAGGAUUUGGAGACCAGUCUGGGCAAGGUAGCAAUAACCCAUCUCUAGAAAAAAUAAAUUAGCUGGGCACAGUGGCACACAAGUCUGCAGUCCCAGUUACUCAGGAGGUUGAGGUGGGAGGAUCGCUUGAGCCUAGGAGGUCAAGGUUGCAGUGAGCUAUGAUCAUGCCACUGCACUCCAGUCUGGGUGACAGAGUGAGACCCCAUCUCAAGAAAAAAAAAGGAAGGCAAGGGAAAGGGGAGGAAGGUGGGAGGAGGGAGGGGGAGGGGAGGGAGGUGGGAGGAGGGAGGGGGAG
ensembl:lncRNA